rnacentral:misc_RNA from 1 species
AUGCGAUAAGUAAUGUGAAUUGCAGAAUUCAGUGAAUCAUCGAAUCUUUGAACGCACCUUGCGCCUUUUGGUAUUCCGAAAGGCAUGCCUGUUUGAGUGUCAUGAAAUCUCAAUCCCCCUGGGUUUAUGAUCUGGGUUGGGACUUGGACUUGGGUGCUGCCGGUUACAUGGCUCGCCUCAAAUGACUUAGUGGAUCUCUCUGCAUCCGUGACAGACGUAAUAAGUUUCGUCUUGUCCCUUGCUGUCUGAGUCUGCUCCUAACCUGCCAUUGUGCACUUUUAGACUCUGACCUCAAAUCAGGUAGGACUACCCGCUGAACUUAA